rnacentral:rRNA from 1 species
CAAUAGCGUAUAUUAAAGUUGUUGCAGUUAAAAAGCUCGUAGUUGGAUUUCUGGUGGGAGCACGGGUCGGCCUUCACGGGUUGUACUGUUGUUGCGUCCUGCCGUUUCGGAGGGAAUGGUCAUGUUAUUAGGUUAGCGUGAUCGGAAACUCUGUCGUUUACUGUGAAAAAUUAGAGUGUUUAAAGCAGGCUUUUGCUGUGAAUACAUUAGCAUGGAAUAAUAAUCUAGGACUUCGGUUCUAUUUUGUUGGUUUCUAGUACUGAAGUAAUGAUUGAUAGGGAUAGUUGGGGGUGCUAGUAUUGGCCGGCCAGAGGUGAAAUUCUUGGAUUCGGUCAAGACUAACUUAUGCGAAAGCAUUCACCAAGGAUGUCUUCUUUAAUCAAGAACGAAAGUUGGGGGAUCGAAGACGAUUAGAUACCA